UUUUUUUCUGAUAUAUAACUAUUAAGGAAUUACAGGAAUUAAUCCAUGUUUAUCUCUUCCCAUCUCAUCUUAUCGCAUCUCGUCUCAUCUCGUCUUAGACUCAAGACGGCCGUUUUGUGCGGAUCGACGGUCAGAGAGGUGUGUAUUACUCCGAGAGCUUUGAACCGAACGGAAGCACCCUGUACCUCCCUGUCUGCGGAACCGUGCUCGCCAACAUGCACAAAUACGAACAGAUCAGCUUCGAGCAAGGCUGCUUCUGCGUCGGCGACGAAACCGGAGGCUUCCGGCAAAGAGUGCAAGGUCAGGCUCUUCACUGCUGGAGAUACAGGAAAGACGUCAGGAAGCUCUUCAUCGCCCUGUCGUACUUCUUCACGAACUGUGAUGUAUUUCAGGAGGUUCUGAGCUCUCUCGAGUGUUUGUAAAGAGGACACACACACACACACACACACACACACACACACACACACACAGAACAUAUCUCCUAAUUGACUAUGUUUCAUUUUUGGCUGCUCUAAAUGUUGAACAAAAUCACAUUUGUCGUUUAUCUGGUUUCUGAUCUUCUCUUUUUCUUUCUUUUUUUUUUAUAUAGACCAGUAUUUUAGAGAACUCCCUGUUGUGUAUGUGGAUUGUAGAAUAAAGUGCGGGGGGGGCAAAACUUUUGCAGUGUCCCUUGUGACACUUUCCGUUGCAUCUUACUGUUAUAUAAAACUUUAAGACACAACUUCUGCACAGUAUAUCCUGAUAGAAUUGUAAUUAAUCGUAUUUUUAUGUUUAUUAUCUGCAAAGUGAACCUUGUGAGAUUUUGGGGUCUGUGGUAUUGUUUAUAACGGGCCUCUGUGAUCAUCUGUUAUUUUAUUUUUUACCCUUUUUUUUUAUUGUGUAUUUUUUUAAAUAAAAAAAAGUGUAUUAACACAAA
ensembl:lncRNA